CCUUCCAAAUAUGCAACAGCUACAAGGUGAUGAUCUGCUUGGCAACCAGGCACAUGGGAACAUGUUCAAAAGCCCUUAACAGGAAUCAUGCACUAAUUAAAAGAAAACAAGGAAAGCAAUGAAUGCUGCAAUGAUUUUACCCAUAGACUUGAGAAAAGACAGAUGAAGAUUCAUGGAAACUAUAUUUCUCAGGGCUACUACAAAGAGAAGAAGACAGUACAUAUUUAGCCAUCUUCUCAGAGAAAGACAAAACAUCAGUGGAAGCAAGACAUUUCAAUUAAUAAUACCAUUGUAAGCUGGGCUGUGACUCAGGUACACUUAUUCACCCAAACUUCCUGAGAAAGUAUGGAUCUUAAGACCAGACUAUGAUACAGAGCAUAAUCUCUUCUGCAAAAGCAUGAGGCCUGAUAGCUAAAGAACUGCUAACCCUAUACAUUGGAGCUACAGUAUGGGAAUAUUUCCUCCCUGGAGAGAAAGUCAUAAAAUGACCAAAGCCAAGAAGUUUCUUCUAUGAGCUACGUCAAGGAACUGAAGAAGGGUCAAAGCUGUGUGUCAUGCAGACAUGUCAAGUUGCUUCUCUGCCAGUGUGCCAGUGUACUUGAGGUGACAAAAGCAAACGGGCUUCCUUUACCACCAAGUUCAUUCAGAGAUGACUGUUGAAAUCUCUUCUGUCACUACACUUCCAAGGUGUUACGUCUUCUCUAGGCUCAGUCUCAAUGCCUGUGUAGACUGCAAGACAUGCUGAAGACAAGACACUUUUGUUUCGUUGUCCAAGGAAAAGAAUAUGAAUGAAAAGUUGCCGAUGGACAUCACUAAUGCACUAGUAUAGUGGAGUGGCUGACUUUCCAUUAGAUGACCCAUAGCAAAGUACCACCAGGCAAUGCUGCUCUCCAGGAAGGAGUGGAGGACAAGUUCUGGCAGUGAUUUACUCACUGGUGAUGACAACGAUUCUACCACGUCCAUAUUUGGUCCCAGCAAGGUGAAGAUUUCAGCCCAGAUCCACAGGAAGGAUUCAGACAGUACCAAGGCAGCCUGCAGCCAUUACCAACCAUGUCCUUGGCAUGGGAGCCAGGCUUAACUGCUGAGUAAUUGUAAGUGAUCGGAUGACUACUGGCAAUUGGAUUUUUCCUACAUUUAAACUGCUUGCACUCCCACUGACUUCCCUGUAUGCAAAGCUGGUGCUGAGACUGCAACACAUCUCACUCCUUGGGCCAUACCAACACUACUUUUGCUCAGCACAGUCAUUUUCCUCCAAGGAGCAGUUAACAUGGAGAACUAUGCAUUCUGCUCCUUUUGAGGAACUGUGAUUAAAACAUAUAUAAGCACUACAGACAAUCAAGUUAGCAAGACAGGCAUUUCCAUUUGUCCAUGUGCUGUAACUGCAGAGUAUAGUAACCCUUGAAUUAGCAUUUGCUUUGUUUUUUUCAUGAAUAAACUAAUUUUCAUUAAUAAACUCAGCUCAUCUAUCUGGAGUCCUGCAUUUGCAGAAAGCUGAGUGUAGAGAGAUAAAAGAUGUCAACACGUAUUGGAUCCUGAUCUCUUAACUUUGGGAAUGACUAUAAUGCAGUACCCAUGUAUGUACAAUGACACACAAUAAAUGCA